AAGGCCUGGAUGGCUCAUCGGAGCUUGGUAAGGACCCAAGGCUUCAAAGGCUUGCUGGAGAGAAGCCUGACAUGGCUGUCAAACCCCAUUAAAGGACCUCUGGUCCAGUUACCCUCGAAACAGAGUCUCAAUCUUCGAACCCCAAGGCCGAGGAUGGUGAUAAAUGACGGAUAGAGGUAUUCGAUGGCUUGAGCAGCCAUGAAUGCCGGCGAAAUAGAGCUGGAGAUGAUUAGGGUUUGAAAGGGGGCUAGAGAGUGUUUAGGGAUUCAAAG
rnacentral:lncRNA from 1 species